GAUGAACGCUAGCGGCAGGCCUAACACAUGCAAGUCGAGGGGUAGCAGGAUUAAGCUUGCUUAAUUGCUGACGACCGGCGCACGGGUGCGUAACGCGUAUGCAACCUACCUUAUACUGGGGUAUAGCCCGGAGAAAUUCGGAUUAAUCCCCCAUAGUACUAAUGAAUCGCAUGGUUUAUUAGUUAAAGCAUUGCGGUAUAAGCUGGGCAUGCGUCCUAUUAGCGAGAUGGUGAGGUAACGGCUCACCAUGGCUACGAUAGGUAGGGGGCCUGAGAGGGUGGUCCCCCACACUGGUACUGAGACACGGACCAGACUCCUACGGGAGGCAGCAGUGAGGAAUAUUGGUCAAUGGGCGCAAGCCUGAACCAGCCAUGCCGCAUGCAGGAAGAAUGCCCUAUGGGUUGUAAACUGCUUUUAUUUGGGAAUAAACCUCUUUACGUGUAGAGAGCUGAAGGUACCAAAUGAAUAAGCACCGGCUAACUCCGUGCCAGCCGCCGCGGUAA
rnacentral:rRNA from 1 species